rnacentral:rRNA from 1 species
GUUAUCGUUUAUUUGAUAGUACCUUACUACUUGGAUAACCGUGGUAAUUCUAGAGCUAAUACAUGCUAAAAACCCCGACUUCGGAAGGGGUGUAUUUAUUAGAUAAAAAACCAAUGCCCUUCGGGGCUCCUUGGUGAUUCAUAAUAACUUAACGAAUCGCAUGGCCUUGUGCCGGCGAUGGUUCAUUCAAAUUUCUGCCCUAUCAACUUUCAAUCGUACGGUAUUGGCCUACGAUGGUUUCAACGGGUAACGGGGAAUUAGGGUUCUAUUCCGGAGAGGGAGCCUGAGAAACGGCUACCACAUCCAAGGAAGGCAGCAGGCGCGCAAAUUACCCAAUCCCGACACGGGGAGGUAGUGACAAUAAAUACUGAUACAGGGCUCUUUUGGGUCUUGUAAUUGGAAUGAGUACAAUUUAAAUCCCUUAACGAGGAACAAUUGGAGGGCAAGUCUGGUGCCAGCAGCCGCGGUAAUUCCAGCUCCAAUAGCGUAUAUUAAAGUUGUUGCAGUUGAAAAGCUCGUAGUUGAACCUUGG